AUACCCGAAACUAAUCGAUCUAUCUUAGAACAGGUAUGUAUAUAACAUGACCUAACCAGUAUCUGUUGCAAAAGAUUUGGGAGAUUCUAAGAUAGUGGUGAAAUGCCAAUCGAGAUUAGUGAUAGCUGGUUUUCUGUGAAAUGCAUUAUAGUGCAGUGAAGUUUAUAUACAAUCAGUCUUACAAUUAAUUAUAUAAUAUAGAUUGAUUAUUGACCAUUAAGUUUAAGUUAUCUGAAGAUUAAUGGAUUGAAGGCUUUAGACAGGCAUAUUAUGGGAAGGUAGUAUGCCGAAAUGGAAAGAGCCAUAACGUUUUGCCAAGGUCCCUAA
rnacentral:rRNA from 1 species